GGGAGGGUGGGAAGAGAUCAACUAAUGAACUUAUAUGCAUAUAAGCAUAACCCUUGGAUACAGACAAUGGAGUGGUUAGGGCCUGGGGCACAUGGCUGGGAGACGUGAAUGGGGG